rnacentral:rRNA from 1 species
GAUGAACGCUGGCGGCGCGCCUAACACAUGCAAGUCGAACGGCACCCCUCCUCGGAGGGCAGCGAGUGGCGAACGGCUGAGUAACACGUGGAGAACCUGCCCCCUCCCCCGGGAUAGCCGCCCGAAAGGACGGGUAAUACCGGAUACCCCGGGGUGCCGCAUGGCACCCCGGCUAAAGCCCCGACGGGAGGGGAUGGCUCCGCGGCCCAUCAGGUAGACGGCGGGGUGACGGCCCACCGUGCCGACAACGGGUAGCCGGGUUGAGAGACCGACCGGCCAGAUGGGGACUGAGACACGGCCCAGACUCCUACGGGAGGCAGCAGUGGGGAAUCUUGCGCAAGGGGGGGAACCCUGACGCAGCGACGCCGCGUGCGGGACGGAGGCCUUCGGGUCGUAAACCGCUUUCAGCAGGGAAGAGUCAAGACUGUACCUGCAGAAGAAGCCCCGGCUAACUACGUG